GUUCUUAAAUUAGAACUCAAGCAGAUGGAGUGGGCUACUGUCCUCUCAACCUGCUGACGUGGGAAUCGGCCCCGGAGGUUUUUUCUCUACAUGAAAGCGUGUAUAAUCGUCUGCCAUCAAAUGUGCACCGAGACGCUGCUGUACCUAAUGCGUGCCCAGCGAGUCCGCAGCAGAUCAUUUCCAGCACCUGUGACUCAAGGGAUCGCUCACGUUGGGAGGAAUGAGGGUGACAGCUGCCAGGAGGUUGGUGCCGGAGGAGCUGUCAGCGGUCACCCUUGGAGGGUCCCCACGUACAGUGAUCCCUGGCACAUCGCGUGCAGCCGGAGCCAGGCUGUCGGGAGGAAAGAGUAUGACGCUUCUCCCCUUCACUGAAAGCCUGGGAAACCGAUUUUAGAAGAACUGAGCAGGGGCAGGGAAGCAUGCAGGGUGCCCGUGGUGCCUGUGACGCCCUGCGCCCUGGGCCCAGCGCCCCUCUCCCUUUCCUGGAGCGCAGAGCGUGGAGCUCUGGCUUGGAAGGAGCGGCCCUCCCACUGGCAGCCAGGCGUUGCUUAAUUGCAGACCAUGUAAUUUUGUAUGGAGAUUUAAUUUUUCUAAUUGGUGCUAGACAUGAUUGCUAAUGAGGCACAACUCAAGUAAAAGCCCCAGAUAAUUUGUACAGCAGACCCUGCAUCUCGGCAGCGAGAUGGCGCACACCCAGCUCCCCCAAAACUGGCUGCUUAAUUCCUUUUCCUCUUUUUGGAAACAAGAUUUCAGACAUACUCAAAGUAAUAAAAUAACAAAUGCUCACUUAACCAUGCUCUCCAAAUUUACUACAUUGAUAUUUUGCCAUGUCCUUAUGGGGUAUGCUUUUAAUAAAAUGUCAGAUAAAAGUUGAGUCCCUUUCUCCCCUUCCUUGAUCCCCCUCUCUCCUGAAUAUAGUCACUGCCCUCAAGUUGGUAUCAUUGCUCUCAUGUUUUUGUUUGUAUUAUGCAUGUUAGAUAUUAACAAACAUUAAUAACAUUGCUUUUUUGUUUUAAAAAAAAAUUCCAUACAUUUUUCACACUAAUUACUUUGAAAUUUGCUUCUUUCAUUUAUGCCGUUUUUAAAAAUGAUCCUAGCUGGUUGAUGUCAUUCUAAUUUAUUUUAGUUGCUAUAUAAUUUGACUAUAAUACAAGUCGUUCAUUUUCUUAAUUAGGAACACUAAGUUUUUUCCUUAUUACAAAAGAUUCAGAAUGAAGAUUCACACAUAACUGCUUGUACAGAUGUGUGAGUGUUUCUCUAGGUCAUAAAACUGGAGGUGGAAUUAUUCCAUUACACUUCAGCCCCUUCUUCAGAUUUACCAGACAGUGUGAAACUGCUCUCCAAAUACUUUCACUAGUUUAUACCCCCAAGGUUUGAAAAGUUGCUGGUAAGUUGUAUUCUCAAAUUUAAUUUUUCAUACAACAGUCCCCCCUUGAUCAUGGGGGACAUAGUUUAAGAAGCCCAGUGGAUAUCUGAAAGCAUGGGUAGUACCAACCCCUACGUGUACUACUUAUAUAUACUACACACACACACACACACACACACCCGAGUAUGCCUAUGGUAGUUGAAUUUAUGAAUUAGACAUAGUAAAAUUAACAAAAAUAUUAUGGAAAGGUUAUAACAAUGUACUGUAAUCCAGUUGUCAUGAAAUUUUUAUAUAAUGCUUAAUCUUGUGUUUUGUAGCAAUUACUAAAUGAAAUGAACAAAGGUACUGCAAUACUGUCAAUCUGAGAACCUAAAUGGCCACGAAGAGAAAUGGAGUGUGGGGAUACUAACAGGGUGAGGUAAGGAGGGUGGCACAAUUUAUUAUGCUAUUCAGAAUGAUGUGCAAUUUAAAACCUACCAAGUGUUUACUGCUGGAAUUUUCUAUUUAAUAUUUUCAGGUUGCACAUGACCAUGCAUAACUUAAGCCACAGAAAUUAAAACUGUGGGUAAGAUAGGAUUUGAUUGGUGAUUGUACUGGGGAUCAAGCCCAGAGGCCCUUUAUCACUAAAUUUUGGUUCUGGUUCUUUUUAUUCUUUUAUUUGGAGACAGAGUCUAAGUUGCCCCAGCUGGCCUUGAACUUGAGAUCCUCUUGCCUCAGCCUCCUGAAUCACUGGUGGGUGCACCUCUGAGCCUUGCUAUAAGGACGCUCGCCCUUACCUACCUUGGGAAUCACACCAAAUUCCUAGAAAGCUGGAUCUGCAAGAGGUGGAGCAGCAGCGUGGCCCAUUCCUCUGAUGGCUUCGCCUGACCUUCCAGUUUGGAAUUUGAAGUGGAGGGAAGCCAAAGCCAACAUACUAUUUUAAGACCACUGCUUCUUUCUUCCUUUUAAGGAACUGUAUUUGACAAAAAGUUUCCUGCAUAUCGAACACAUUAAUCCUAACACAGCUAACUUCUUCCAUCUGGGAUGCUGUAGGUAAAAACACAAGGACCCCUCCAUGGCAGCCUAUUCCUUGAAGGGACUGACCCCAUCAGCCAAGGCCCGUGCUGCCAGACAGGGCUGGAUCAGAGCAGGUGACACACACAGCGCCCCGCUCACGAGGGGCACCUGGAUGUAUCGUCACAGGUGUGAAGUUACUUCCAGAACGUGAUGCCCUGUGCCCCUGGCCCUGGAUCUCUGAAGAGCAGAGCGGGUGUGUUCCUCGCGUCCAUUGCUUCCACCUUAUGUCUCUGAACUCGGGGGCUAUGAAGAUCUACUUUUGCACAAGGUCCCUCUUUCUCAAACUCAAAUGGGAACACGUCUUCCGGCCUUUAAGAACCUCACAGCUGGCUGUGGAGUCCCUGCAAGCACUGUUUCUCCACCCACCGCAGGUCCUCCAGGCCAGGGCUGUCUCUCCAUCCUCCCAAGACCUGUCGGCAGAGUCAGUAAGAACGGAUCCAACAAGCCUCCACCAAACGCCGUCUCCAGUGCCUCCUUCAUCCUGCAGUUUCCUCCUGCCUCUCUCCUGCUCCUCCGUCCAGGUCUGGCCUGUCUUGGUCAGGCAAACCUUGUCCUAACCCUCCCACCUCAAACCAACCAUCGCACUGCAGCUCGGCUGUUUCCAGCUGAGUUCACUGAGGGAAGAAGACACAGAGGGAGGGGCCAGUUCUUGUCCCCUGUCCCCGCUCAUUCCUUCAGAGGGCUACCAGGUGGCCUGCAGGAGUUGGCUGAGUCCUAGCUGGCACAUCUGGGAACUUGAGUCACCCUCUUUCUGUGUCCCUCUGAGCACCCCCACUCACACAGCCUCGAUUGCAGCCUCUACCUCCUGCUCCUCAGAGCACCCCGCCGAGCCUGCUGGCUCUCUCUCUCUCCAGUCGCAGAAUUCCUGCCUUUCCAACUUCCCUCUGCCAUCAGACACCCACCACCACCACCCAGUGCUGGUUUCGGCUCUUUCCCUCCUCUUCCUCAUCCCUCUGUUUGUGGGUUUCCCGUUUCCUCUUGGGCCUGAAUUCACAUGGCGUGUCCACAGCAUGAUUUCUGCUCUCAUGGAGAAAUGGCAGGCACACAGUCCCCUAGACAGGUAGCUCUGUCCAGCCACGGAAUCCUCUCCGUCCCCUGCUAGGGUGCAGCUCUGGCGAUGAAGACCCUGACGUGUGCACCCAGAAGGACCUGGGACCACCAGCUGGCUCAGGGGUGCUGCGGAUCAGGGCAGGUUCUCACCUGGGGCUGGGACAGUUCUGUGUGUUCUCCAUGAUUUGUUCUCCCUGGUGGCCCAGUGGCUGGGGAUGAUCAUGACUCUGGCUCCAGCUAAUGUGAGAAGCUGAAGAGGGAAAGUGGGAGGAGGGAGGGAGAGAGACGCAGAGGGGAAGACGGCAGCCGGCCAAGGCCUCAGCAGUGAGGGCUCAGGAAACCAGACCCCAGAAAAGACCGUGGCUGAGGACCUGGAGAAACCCUGCCUCUGGCCGGAAGGAUUCGGAAACACUAAAAAAAAGGAGUUGUUUUACCCAUAUUUGGUAGAAUUAAACUUGCCGUAUUUUCACAGAA